rnacentral:rRNA from 1 species
GACGAACGCUGGCGGCGUGCUUAACACAUGCAAGUCGAACGACGUGGCGAACGGGUGAGUAACGCGUAAUCAACCUGCCCUUCAGAGGGGGACAACAGUUGGAAACGACUGCUACUACCGCAUACUGAAGUAGGGGAUUGCGUCUGAUUAGCUAGUUGGCUGGGUAACGGCCCAACAAGGCGAUGAUCAGUAGCCGGGCUGAGAGGAUGAACUGCAAAAUUGGGACUGAGACAAGGCCCAGACUCCUACUGGAGGCAGCAGGGGGGAAUCUUCCGCAAUGGACGAAAGUCGGACGGAGCAACGCCGCGUGAGGGAUGACGGCCUUCGGGUUGUAAAGCUCUGUUAAUCGGGACGCGGUACCGGAAUAGAAAGCCACGGCUAACUACGUGCCAGCAGCCGCGGUAAUAC